UACGGAAGGGGCGAGCGUUGUUCGGAAUCAUUGGGCGUAAAGGGCGCGUAGGUGGUCUUGUAUGUCUACCGUGAAAGCGUACGGCUCAACUGUAUUUUGUCGGUAGAAACUGCAGGACUUGAGGCUGGGAGGGGCUGGUGGAAUUCCCUGUGUAGCGGUGAAAUGCGUAGAGAUGGGGGAGAACACUCGUGGCGAAGGCGGCCAGCUAGACCAGUUCUGACACUGAGGCGCGACAGCGUGGGGAGCAAACAGG
rnacentral:rRNA from 1 species